CUUCAGGCCCACACGGGGCAGACCGCUGUGAGGAGCUCCCAGGAGAAGCAGGGCCAGGUAGCCAGCAGGGCAGAGCACAGGACCUAGGACCAGGCUGAGAAAGAAGAGAAGAGCAAUUUCAGUGCCUAAACUGUAGGGAAAGACAGUCUCUUCUGUGGCCUCAAUGUGUGCCUCAAGGUGCAGAGGAAGUCAAGCAGGGCCAGGAGACCCGGUCCCCACACAGGGAAUAUGCUGUCUCCCCAAGCAGGGCGGCCUGCUCCUGGAGACCAAAGAGGAAUAAACCCCAGCAGGGUUUAGCGGUCCUCAGCCCCCACAGUGGAAGCAGCCCAAGCAGGAUGCACCAGGGCAGCAGCAGCUCCCUGGGUGCCCAGACAAGUCUAUACCCACGCGUGCUGCUCCAGCAAAGCCACACGAGGGGAGGCCAAAAGAGAAGCCCUGCCAAGGUGGACCUCCACAGGUCUAUCUGAUUCCGUGGAGCCCCAGCCCCGCGCAAGGCGAUGCGAGAGGGCCAGCACAAGAGAGGUGGCCAGAAACCUCACUGCCAUCUGAGAGAUGGCCAGAAGUCUGCCUGCCUCUGCCUCCACUGAGGUAGACCUGAAAGUGUCCACCCACGCUUCCCCGUGACGGGGCAAUAAACUAACUCUUGGCGACCUGA